ACAAAUCCGAUAAUUGCUAAAGGACUUUUGGCAAAUAUUAAAUCGCCGGCUGGCCUAGGCUAGCUGGUGAGGUUACUAUAUAAAUGCGUGUUAUGUUGACAGUGUGAGUGAGAUUUAAAUUUAUUGA
rnacentral:misc_RNA from 1 species